GACGAACGCUGGCGGCGUGCUUAACACAUGCAAGUCGAACGGAAAGGCCCUGCUUUUGUGGGGUGCUCGAGUGGCGAACGGGUGAGUAACACGUGAGUAACCUGCCCUUGACUUUGGGAUAACUUCAGGAAACUGGGGCUAAUACCGGAUAGGAGCUCCUGCUGCAUGGUGGGGGUUGGAAAGUUUCGGCGGUUGGGGAUGGACUCGCGGCUUAUCAGCUUGUUGGUGGGGUAGUGGCUUACCAAGGCUUUGACGGGUAGCCGGCCUGAGAGGGUGACCGGCCACAUUGGGACUGAGAUACGGCCCAGACUCCUACGGGAGGCAGCAGUGGGGAAUAUUGCACAAUGGGCGGAAGCCUGAUGCAGCAACGCCGCGUGCGGGAUGACGGCCUUCGGGUUGUAAACCGCUUUCGCCUGUGACGAAGCGUGAGUGACGGUAAUGGGUAAAGAAGCACCGGCUAACUACGUGCCAGCAGCCGCGGUGAUACGUAGGGUGCGAGCGUUGUCCGGAUUUAUUGGGCGUAAAGGGCUCGUAGGUGGUUGAUCGCGUCGGAAGUGUAAUCUUGGGGCUUAACCCUGAGCGUGCUUUCGAUACGGGUUGACUUGAGGAAGGUAGGGGAGAAUGGAAUUCCUGGUGGAGCGGUGGAAUGCGCAGAUAUCAGGAGGAACACCAGUGGCGAAGGCGGUUCUCUGGGCCUUUCCUGACGCUGAGGAGCGAAAGCGUGGGGAGCGAACAGGCUUAGAUACCCUGGUAGUCCACGCUGUAAACGGUGGGUACUAGGUGUGGGGUCCAUUCCACGGGUUCCGUGCCGUAGCUAACGCUUUAAGUACCCCGCCUGGGGAGUACGGCCGCAAGGCUAAAACUCAAAGGAAUUGACGGGGCCCCGCACAAGCGGCGGAGCAUGCGGAUUAAUUCGAUGCAACGCGUAGAACCUUACCUGGGUUUGACAUGGAUCGGGAGUGCUCAGAGAUGGGUGUGCCUCUUUUGGGGUCGGUUCACAGGUGGUGCAUGGCUGUCGUCAGCUCGUGUCGUGAGAUGUUGGGUUAAGUCCCGCAACGAGCGCAACCCUUGUUCACUGUUGCCAACACGUUAUGGUGGGGACUCAGUGGAGACCGCCGGGGUCAACUCGGAGGAAGGUGGGGAUGACGUCAAGUCAUCAUGCCCCUUAUGUCCAGGGCUUCACGCAUGCUACAAUGGCUGGUACAGAGAGUGGCGAGCCUGUGAGGGUGAGCGAAUCUCGGAAAGCCGGUCUCAGUUCGGAUUGGGGUCUGCAACUCGACCUCAUGAAGUCGGAGUCGCUAGUAAUCGCAGAUCAGCAACGCUGCGGUGAAUACGUUCCCGGGGCU
rnacentral:rRNA from 1 species